UGUUUGGUGGGUGGUCUUAUACUAAGUUUGGUCUGAUGGCGUGGACACCAUCAAUUAAAGAAGGGGAAGAUGUAAGGUAGUAGCCUUAAGUAGGCCACUAGGCGGCGCUGUUGGCAUUACUAUAACAGAUGCAGUUCAGCAUUUUCUUUGCUUUUUUAUACCUUACGAGAUGCCGUAGUUUACACUUGAUUUGUGUAGGCCGCCAUGUUCGUUAAAAACUGUGUGUCCUACGUUAAGGGGAUGAUGAAACCAGCCUUCUCUGUGACAAUAAAUCCUAAUGGUCUCAGCCACAAUCUUCAA